UGGGGAAUCUUAGACAAUGGGGGAAACCCUGAUCUAGCCAUGCCGCGUGAGCGAUGAAGGCCUUAGGGUUGUAAAGCUCUUUCAGCUGGGAAGAUAAUGACGGUACCAGCAGAAGAAGCCCCGGCUAACUCCGUGCCAGCAGCCGCGGUAAUACGGAGGGGGCUAGCGUUGUUCGGAAUUACUGGGCGUAAAGCGCACGUAGGCGGAUUAGUCAGUCAGAGGUGAAAUUCCCAGGGCUCAACCCUGGAACUGCCUUUGAUACUGCUAGUCUUGAGGUCGAGAGAGGUGAGUGGAAUUCCGAGUGUAGAGGUGAAAUUCGUAGAUAUUCGGAGGAACACCAGUGGCGAAGGCGGCUCACUGGCUCGAUACUGACGCCGAGGUGCGAAAGCGUGGGGAGCAAACAGGA
rnacentral:rRNA from 1 species